UUUUUUGUGCUCUCCCCCUGUAGGUUUUUAACUUCUUUUUUUUUCUUUUGUUCACCCCCUUUUUUUUUUUUUUUUAAGAUGGCCUGAAAUAUUCUUAAAUAAGAUGGUACUGCUAGCUGUUGGUUUAGUGAUCAGUUCCUUGUAAUCUGGACUCAACUAACUGUUGCCACCUUCAAGAUCUCUACUUGAUCAACGUGCCCACCCUUCUCUAACCCCCCACCCCAAACUUCGUUCACAGGACUCAGGUGGCUGCUAAUGGUCUGGGAAGGACUUCUGACUUAUUAUAACCCUGAUUAUCUUGCAGUAGCAAAGCAAUUCUCAACCUGUCAAUGAAGCAAGCAGCUUGCUCUUGAGUGUCAGCUCUGGGUUGCUUACAUCCAUGCCCGUAUUACGUACUGAUCUCCACUGCACCUGCACCAUGUCUGCUGUCCCUGUCAUGCCCCGAUGAUGUGGAGAUGUAGAAGCAAUCUGCAAGAAGGAGAAAGUUUCUGCAUCAAAGAGCCUGGGAUGUUACUGGGUUUAUAAUCUGUGUACUACACUGCUGAAAUUUCAAGUUACAUGGUUUAUAGUCCACUUUAAUUAUCGAGCUAUUACAGAGCAUGCACAGUUCUCCCCAGUGCUAUUUUAAAAUCCCAACUGUGUUUUUCCUUUCUUCUAGAAAUCCGCUACACCAAUGCUGCUGAGAAAACAAUAAGCAGGAUGUAAGUUGUCUCACGUCCCCUUCUCCUUGCCAGCUUCCUACUGACACAGAAAUUUACGACAGGAAAAAGGCAAACCUCCCUGUAGUGACAGCAGUGCCACGUGCUCUUCUUGUGUCUGUCUGGGCUCCGUCGUCAGAGGGACACGCAGAGCCUGGCCGAGCUCAAGUGACUCCAGCAGGUCAGAGCUCUGGCCAGAGAAAGCUGAGGCAAUGCUGUCCCGGUGGGUGAUGCAACCAGAGGCUAUGGUGAGGGCUGUAUUUCUCGUUGGGAACAUCUGCCCGUCACGCGGCGUUGGAACGUGCAGUUUGAGGUUGCUGGUGGAAGCCGGUGGAGAAAUGGUCCUUGCUGGAACCAGCAUAAUGAAAAUGUAUGCCCAGCUGCAGAAGACCAUGUAA
rnacentral:lncRNA from 1 species